GCUCAAAACUUAGCCCUAUAACUUAAAUACACCCUAAAACCUCUCCCCCUAAACUAAAACAUUUUAACAAUUUAGUAAAGGCGAUUAAAAAAUUUUCAGGCGCUAUAAAAGCAGUACCGCAAGGAAAUAGUGAAAUAAAAAUGAAAUAAAUUUUAAGCACAAAAAAGUAAAGAUUAACUCUUGUACCUUUUGCAUCAUGGUCUAACAAGUCUAAUCAAGCAAAAUGCUUUUAAGUUUGACCCCCCGAAACUAAGCGAGCUACUUUAGGACAGCUUAAUGAGCAAACCCGUCUCUGUUGCAAAAGAGUGGGAAGAUCUUACAGUAGCGGUGACAGACCUAACGAGCUUAGUGAUAGCUGGUUGCUCAAGAAAAGGAUUUUAGUCCCACCUAAAGGCCCCCCCAAUAAUUAUUUAUACUAGAUGGGCUUUAGAGCAAUUCAAAUAAGGUACAGCCUAUUUGAAUUAGGAUACAACCUAAACCUCAGGGUAAUAUCGUGACACAACAAAAAAGUGGGCCUAAAAGCAGCCACCUUUAAGACAGCGUCAAAGCUUGCUUGUUUUACUCUUCAAUUCCGAAACUCCCCUAGAACCCUUAAAUACUACUGAGCGAUUCUAUAUUCUUAUAGAAGUUAUUAUGUUAAAACUAGUAAUAAGAAGAACCUCCUUCUCUUUAAUGUAAGUGUAAAUCAGAAAGGACCUUCCACUGAUUCUUAACAUGUAUAAACUAAUAAUAGUAACAUAACAAGAAAACCCUAUUAUACCUCAUGUUAAUCUAACACAAGAACAUUACAAGAAAGAUUAAAAGAAAAGGAAGGAACUCGGCAAACCUUAGCCCCGCCUGUUUACCAAAAACAUCGCCUCUUGAUAUCUCAUAAGAGGUCCAGCCUGCCCAGUGACACUGUUCAACGGCCGCGGUAUCCUAACCGUGCAA
rnacentral:rRNA from 1 species